AUGCUGGAGGUAUCAGAAGUGCGAAUGCUGACAUAAGUAACGAUAAAGCGGGUGAAAAGCCCGCUCGCCGGAAGACCAAGGGUUCCUGUCCAACGUUAAUCGGGGCAGGGUGAGUCGACCCCUAAGGCGAGGCCGAAAGGCGUAGUCGAUGGGAAACAGGUUAAUAUUCCUGUACUUGGUGUUACUGCGAAGGGGGGACGGAGAAGGCUAUGUUGGCCGGGCGACGGUUGUCCCGGUUUAAGCGUGUAGGCUGGUUUUCCAGGCAAAUCCGGAAAAUCAAGGCUGAGGCGUGAUGACGAGGCACUACGGUGCUGAAGCAACAAAUGCCCUGCUUCCAGGAAAAGCCUCUAAGCAUCAGGUAACAUCAAAUCGUACCCCAAACCGACACAGGUGGUCAGGUAGAGAAUACCAAGGCGCUUGAGAGAACUCGGGUGAAGGAACUAGGCAAAAUGGUGCCGUAACUUCGGGAGAAGGCACGCUGAUAUGUAGGUGAAGUCCCUCGCGGAUGGAGCUGAAAUCAGUCGAAGAUACCAGCUGGCUGCAACUGUUUAUUAAAAACACAGCACUGUGCAAACACGAAAGUGGACGUAUACGGUGUGACGCCUGCCCGGUGCCGGAAGGUUAAUUGAUGGGGUUAGCGCAAGCGAAGCUCUUGAUCGAAGCCCCGGUAAACGGCGGCCGUAACUAUAACGGUCCUAAGGUAGCGAAAUUCCUUGUCGGGUAAGUUCCGACCUGCACGAAUGGCGUAAUGAUGGCCAGGCUGUCUCCACCCGAGACUCAGUGAAAUUGAACUCGCUGUGAAGAUGCAGUGUACCCGCGGCAAGACGGAAAGACCCCGUGAACCUUUACUAUAGCUUGACACUGAACAUUGAGCCUUGAUGUGUAGGAUAGGUGGGAGGCUUUGAAGUGUGGACGCCAGUCUGCAUGGAGCCGACCUUGAAAUACCACCCUUUAAUGUUUGAUGUUCUAACGUUGACCCGUAAUCCGGGUUGCGGACAGUGUCUGGUGGGUAGUUUGACUGGGGCGGUCUCCUCCUAAAGAGUAACGGAGGAGCACGAAGGUUGGCUAAUCCUGGUCGGACAUCAGGAGGUUAGUGCAAUGGCAUAAGCCAGCUUGACUGCGAGCGUGACGGCGCGAGCAGGUGCGAAAGCAGGUCAUAGUGAUCCGGUGGUUCUGAAUGGAAGGGCCAUCGCUCAACGGAUAAAAGGUACUCCGGGGAUAACAGGCUGAUACCGCCCAAGAGUUCAUAUCGACGGCGGUGUUUGGCACCUCGAUGUCGGCUCAUCACAUCCUGGGGCUGAAGUAGGUCCCAAGGGUAUGGCUGUUCGCCAUUUAAAGUGGUACGCGAGCUGGGUUUAGAACGUCGUGAGACAGUUCGGUCCCUAUCUGCCGUGGGCGCUGGAGAACUGAGGGGGGCUGCUCCUAGUACGAGAGGACCGGAGUGGACGCAUCACUGGUGUUCGGGUUGUCAUGCCAAUGGCACUGCCCGGUAGCUAAAUGCGGAAGAGAUAAGUGCUGAAAGCAUCUAAGCACGAAACUUGCCCCGAGAUGAGUUCUCCCUGACCCUUUAAGGGUCCUGAAGGAACGUUGAAGACGACGACGUUGAUAGGCCGGGUGUGUAAGCGCAGCGAUGCGUUGAGCUAACCGGUACUAAUGAACCGUGAGGCUUAACCUUACAACGCCGAAGGUGUUU
rnacentral:rRNA from 1 species